rnacentral:misc_RNA from 1 species
UUUGCCUAGCAUUACAUAUCAGUUUGGUAACAAUUUGUUUCUCUGUGUAAAAGCUAUAUCAAUUCUCAAGCAGUAGUGUUGCAUUUCCUGCCUCUUGUAUGGUUAUGCAUGAUUCUUUGUUUAUAAAAGAAUAAUAUAGAAAAAGCUAUCAGCAAGAAUUAGGGGUGGGUAUGGGUUUGGCAGUAAAUGAUCCACAUGCCCAUUUGAAUAUUAUAUGGUUAUCCAUACCCAUUUAACCCUUAUUGG